rnacentral:rRNA from 1 species
GACGAACCGGACGAACGUUAUUCGGAAUCAUUGGGCUUAAAGUGUGCGUAGGCGGCCUUGUAGGUGAGGUGUGAAAUCCCACGGCUCAACCGUGGAACUGCGCUUCAAACCACAAGGCUUGAGUGAGGCAGAGGUAAGCGGAACUGAUGGUGGAGCGGUGAAAUGCGUUGAUAUCAUCAGGAACACCGGUGGCGAAGGCGGCUUACGGGGCCUUGUCUGACGCUGAGGCACGAAAGCUAGGGGAGCAAACGGG